rnacentral:rRNA from 1 species
AGUCGCGUGCGCGGUUCCGUAGCAAUACGGGAUGGGCGCACGGCGCACGGGUGCGUAACACGUGGGCAAUCUGCCCUCCGAUGGGGAAUAACCCCGCGAAAGCGGGGCUAAUACCGCAUAACAUUCCUUGGACUAUGGUUUGAGGACUCAAAGCAGCAAUGCGUCGGAGGAGGAGCCCGCGCCCGAUUAGCUAGUUGGUGAGGUAACGGCUCACCAAGGCAAUGAUCGGUAGCUGGUCUGAGAGGAUGGCCAGCCACACUGGAACUGAGACACGGUCCAGACUCCUACGGGAGGCAGCAGUGGGGAAUCUUGCGCAAUGGGCGAAAGCCUGACGCAGCGACGCCGCGUGGGGGAUGAAGCUUUUCGGAGUGUAAACCCCUUUCGACUGGGACGAAUGCCCGCAAGGGAGUGACGGUACCAGUAGAAGAAGCCCCGGCUAACUACGUGCCAGCAGCCGCGGUAAGACGUAGGGGGCCAGCGUUGUUCGGAAUUACUGGGUGUAAAGGGUUCGUAGGCGGUGUGGCAAGUCGGGAGUGAAAUCUCUGGGCUUAACUCAGAGGCUGCUUCCGAAACUGCUGUGCUUGAGUGUGGGAGAGGCGCGUGGAAUUGCAGGUGUAGCGGUGAAAUGCGUAGAUAUCUGCAGGAACACCCGUGGCGAAAGCGGCGCGCUGGACCACAACUGACGCUGA